rnacentral:rRNA from 1 species
AUACAGAGGGUGCAAGCGUUAAUCGGAUUUACUGGGCGUAAAGCGCGCGUAGGUGGCUAAUUAAGUCAAAUGUGAAAUCCCCGAGCUUAACUUGGGAAUUGCAUCCGAUACUGGUUAGCUAGAGUAUGGGAGAGGAUGGUAGAAUUCCAGGUGUAGCGGUGAAAUGCGUAGAGAUCUGGAGGAAUACCGAUGGCGAAGGCAGCCAUCUGGCCUAAUACUGACACUGAGGUGCGAAAGCAUGGGGAGCAAACAGGAUUAGAUACCCUGGUAGUCCAUGCCGUAAACGAUGUCUACUAGCCGUUGGGGCCCUUGAGGCUUUAGUGGCGCAGCUAACGCGAUAAGUAGACCGCCUGGGGAGUACGGUCGCAAGACUAAAACUCAAAUGAAUUGGCGGGG